GAGAGCUUGCUCUCGGGUGACGAGCGGCGGACGGGUGAGAAUAGUCUGGGAAACUGCCUGAUGGAGGGGGAUAACUACUGGAAACGGUAGCUAAUACCGCAUAACGUCGCAAGACCAAAGUGGGGGACCUUCGGGCCUCAUGCCAUCAGAUGUGCCCAGAUGGGAUUAGCUAGUAGGUGGGGUAACGGCUCACCUAGGCGACGAUCCCUAGCUGGUCUGAGAGGAUGACCAGCCACACUGGAACUGAGACACGGUCCAGACUCCUACGGGAGGCAGCAGUGGGGAAUAUUGCACAAUGGGCGCAAGCCUGAUGCAGCCAUGCCGCGUGUGUGAAGAAGGCCUUCGGGUUGUAAAGCACUUUCAGCGGGGAGGAAGGCGAUAAGGUUAAUAACCUUGGCGAUUGACGUUACCCGCAGAAGAAGCACCGGCUAACUCCGUGCCAGCAGCCGCGGUAAUACGGAGGGUGCAAGCGUUAAUCGGAAUUACUGGGCGUAAAGCGCACGCAGGCGGUCUGUCAAGUCGGAUGUGAAAUCCCCGGGCUCAACCUGGGAACUGCAUUCGAAACUGGCAGGCUAGAGUCUUGUAGAGGGGGGUAGAAUUCCAGGUGUAGCGGUGAAAUGCGUAGAGAUCUGGAGGAAUACCGGUGGCGAAGGCGGCCCCCUGGACAAAGACUGACGCUCAGGUGCGAAAGCGUGGGGAGCAAACAGGAUUAGAUACCCUGGUAGUCCACGCCGUAAACGAUGUCGAUUUGGAGGUUGUGCCCUUGAGGCGUGGCUUCCGGAGCUAACGCGUUAAAUCGACCGCCUGGGGAGUACGGCCGCAAGGUUAAAACUCAAAUGAAUUGACGGGGGCCCGCACAAGCGGUGGAGCAUGUGGUUUAAUUCGAUGCAACGCGAAGAACCUUACCUGGUCUUGACAUCCACAGAACUU
rnacentral:rRNA from 1 species